rnacentral:rRNA from 1 species
CWASGGSAKCUAUACAUGCAAGUCGAGCGGACAGAUGGGAGCUUGCUCCCUGAUGUUAGCGGCGGACGGGUGAGUAACACGUGGGUAACCUGCCUGUAAGACUGGGAUAACUCCGGGAAACCGGGGCUAAUACCGGAUGCUUGUUUGAACCGCAUGGUUCAAACAUAAAAGGUGGCUUCGGCUACCACUUACAGAUGGACCCGCGGCGCAUUAGCUAGUUGGUGAGGUAACGGCUCACCAAGGCAACGAUGCGUAGCCGACCUGAGAGGGUGAUCGGCCACACUGGGACUGAGACACGGCCCAGACUCCUACGGGAGGCAGCAGUAGGGAAUCUUCCGCAAUGGACGAAAGUCUGACGGAGCAACGCCGCGUGAGUGAUGAAGGUUUUCGGAUCGUAAAGCUCUGUUGUUAGGGAAGAACAAGUACCGUUCGAAUAGGGCGGUACCUUGACGGUACCUAACCAGAAAGCCACGGCUAACUACGUGCCAGCAGCCGCGGUAAUACGUAGGUGGCAAGCGUUGUCCGGAAUUAUUGGGCGUAAAGGGCUCGCAGGCGGUUUCUUAAGUCUGAUGUGAAAGCCCCCGGCUCAACCGGGGAGGGUCAUUGGAAACUGGGGAACUUGAGUGCAGAAGAGGAGAGUGGAAUUCCACGUGUAGCGGUGAAAUGCGUAGAGAUGUGGAGGAACACCAGUGGCGAAGGCGACUCUCUGGUCUGUAACUGACGCUGAGGAGCGAAAGCGUGGGGAGCGAACAGGAUUAGAUACCCUGGUAGUCCACGCCGUAAACGAUGAGUGCUAAGUGUUAGGGGGUUUCCGCCCCUUAGUGCUGCAGCUAACGCAUUAAGCACUCCGCCUGGGGAGUACGGUCGCAAGACUGAAACUCAAAGGAAUUGACGGGGGGCCCGCACAAGCGGUGGAGCAUGUGGUUUAAUUCGAAGCAACGCGAAGAACCUUUACCAGGUCUUGACAUCCUCUGACAAUCCUAGAGAUAGGAYGUCCCCUUUCGGGGGGCAGAGUGACAGGUGGUGCAUGGGUUGUCGUCAGCUCGUGUCGUGAGAUGUUGGGUUUAGUCCCGCAACGAGCGCAAACCUUUGAUCUUAGUGGCAGCCAUUUCAGUUGGGCAACCCUUCUUAAGGGGUKACCUG